CCUACGGGGCGCAGCAGUGGGGAAUAUUGCACAAUGGGGGAAACCCUGAUGCAGCGACGCCGCGUGAGCGAAGAAGUAUCUCGGUAUGUAAAGCUCUAUCAGCAGGGAAGAAAAUGACGGUACCUGACUAAGAAGCCCCGGCUAACUACGUGCCAGCAGCCGCGGUAAUACGUAGGGGGCAAGCGUUAUCCGGAUUUACUGGGUGUAAAGGGAGCGCAGGCGGCGCGGUAAGUCUGAAGUGAAAGGCGGGGGCCCAACCCCCGGACUGCUUUGGAACCUGUGUGGCUGGAGUGCAGGAGAGGUAA
rnacentral:rRNA from 1 species